rnacentral:other from 1 species
AAAUCCCUGCAGUGUUCGUUGGCUAUUGCCUGAGAAUUGUUGAACCAACAGUAUAAUUAUGGGAGCCUGACUUCCAGGAUACCUUGGUAUCCGGACAAGGCACCCACCUGAAACCGAAAGGUUCAGCGUUUCAGGUAUCAACGGCACAGGCGGGGAUAUA